CCUGAACCCUAACAGGAGUUGUCGUCAUGUUUUGCCUGACAGCGUUCAGGCCCCUGAACGAGAUGGAGUUGGUGUAGAUACUCUGAUUGCGACGCCAGAGAUCUGAGUUUGAUUCCCGAUAAGGUAUUGCGAUAUAUUUGGUAUCUUUAUAAUAUUCUUCAUUCGAAUAUGCUAGGAAUAUUAUUUUUUAUUUAAAGAAGUAAAUUAUAAUUUUUUUAGUUAUUUAAUAAACAAAGAAAAGCACAUAUUGCUCGAUAAAAAUUUGUUUUAUACAUGAACGAGAACUUCUUUUAAUGUAAUCACAAUAAUUCAUCACCUCAUCUGGGAUCGAACACCGAUCUCCAGCAUCACUUUCAGAAAGGCUACACCUACGCCAUUGACAACGAUGUAAAAACUCACAGGCAGCUGAAAAAUAAGCUAAAUAGUUUCGUGGCUCGUCUCUUCUAGCAGAAAAAUUUCGUUUAAUGCAAGAAGGUCGUCUACUACAAAUGAAAGAGCCACGAGCAAAAUACAGCCACUCACAUGACGAGCGCCUUCUCACUAGCCAGAAAAACAUUAACAAGAGGCGUCACUAUGCUUUUCUGGAGCCUUGGCUGGGAAAUGGCUUGCUAUUGUCAUCAGGGGGAAAAGUGAAAAAAAGAAAGGCGUUUGAUCAGCCUUUCCCUUUCAGAUUCUUGGUGAUUUCUUUAAUGUCUUUAAUCGGAACGCUGCCAUCUUAAUAGAACAAAUCGUCAAUCAGGUGGUAGACAACAAGGAAA